GGCAGCACGAUGUAGCAAUACAUUGGUGGCGACCGGCGCACGGGUGAGUAACGCGUAUGCAACCUACCUAUCAGAGGGGAAUAACCCGGCGAAAGUCGGACUAAUACCGCAUAAAACAGGGGUUCCACAUGGAAAUAUUUGUUAAAGAAUUAUCGCUGAUAGAUGGGCAUGCGUUCCAUUAGAUAGUUGGUGAGGUAACGGCUCACCAAGUCCACGAUGGAUAGGGGUUCUGAGAGGAAGGUCCCCCACACUGGUACUGAGACACGGACCAGACUCCUACGGGAGGCAGCAGUGAGGAAUAUUGGUCAAUGGGCGAGAGCCUGAACCAGCCAAGUCGCGUGAAGGAUGAAGGAUCUAUGGUUUGUAAACUUCUUUUAUAUGGGAAUAAAGUGAGGAACGUGUUCCUUUUUGUAUGUACCAUAUGAAUAAGCAUCGGCUAACUCCGUGCCAGCAGCCGCGGUAAUACGGAGGAUGCGAGCGUUAUCCGGAUUUAUUGGGUUUAAAGGGUGC
rnacentral:rRNA from 1 species